rnacentral:rRNA from 1 species
AUACGGAGAGGGCAAGCGUUGUUCGGAAUCACUGGGCAUAAAGCGCACGUAGGCGGGUCGGUAAGUCGGUGGUGAAAGCCCGGAGCUCAACUCCGGAACUGCUUCCGAAACUGCCAGCCUGGAGGACGAGAGGGGAGAGUGGAACUUCUGGUGGAGCGGUGAAAUGCGUAGAGAUCAGAAGGAACACCGGUGGCGAAAGCGACUCUCUGGCUCGUUUCUGACGCUGAGGUGCGAAAGCUAGGGUAGCGAACGGGAUUAGAAACCCUAGUAGUCC